rnacentral:rRNA from 1 species
AAAUUGAAGAGUUUGAUCAUGGCUCAGAUUGAACGCUGGCGGCAGGCCUAACACAUGCAAGUCGAACGGUAACAGGAAGCAGCUUGCUGCUUCGCUGACGAGUGGCGGACGGGUGAGUAAUGUCUGGGAAACUGCCUGAUGGAGGGGGAUAACUACUGGAAACGGUGGCUAAUACCGCAUAACGUCGCAAGACCAAAGAGGGGGACCUUCGGGCCUCUUGCCAUCAGAUGUGCCCAGAUGGGAUUAGCUAGUUGGUGAGGUAACGGCUCACCAAGGCGACGAUCCCUAGCUGGUCUGAGAGGAUGACCAGCCACACUGGAACUGAGACACGGUCCAGACUCCUACGGGAGGCAGCAGUGGGGAAUAUUGCACAAUGGGCGCAAGCCUGAUGCAGCCAUGCCGCGUGUAUGAAGAAGGCCUUCGGGUUGUAAAGUACUUUCAGCGGGGAGGAAGGUGUUGUGGUUAAUAACCGCAGCAAUUGACGUUACCCGCAGAAGAAGCACCGGCUAACU